UACCCACUCGGUACCACCUUUGGUGUUCAAUUGCUUCCCUUCCUCCCCAGCCCACUGGUUUGAGGUCCGGGGUAGACAGAAGGAUUUCAUGUGCAAUAUGGGGACACACUGGCGUUGCGGCGUAUGCUGAGCACGGAUAAUCAAGUUUUUGACAAGUUCCUGAAGGACCAGUACCUGCUUAACCAGUGUUUCCAGGUCAUACAGGAAGUGUGUGAUAAAGCUGGGAACUGAAUCCAGAUUGCCACAGACCCAGUCCACUACUUAUCCACAAGAGCAUCCUUCCUUCCACAUAGAAAUGGAGAGACCAGAGUUCCUUUUAGACAUUUAUACAUCUAGUAGCACAACAGCCACAGAAUGAGAUUGUCAAAUGGCAAAGCCAGUGCGGGAUGGCUGCAGAUGUUGUUGGCACUGCUACGUAAGUGCAGAGGAAAUCUGAUGAAUGACUAAUGACUAGCAAGACGAAAGUUGAAAACACUAAGACAUACACAGUGCUACAUAAGAUAUUUUGGAAGGUAGCAAGCUUUAGUCACUAAAGGGUGCUGACUCACUGUCCAAUUUGCCUUCAGAAGUUCUUUGUGUUUAUUUGCCAUCAGAACCUCCAAAGGUUAAAAUUUGAACCAGAUCUUUAGAGCCAUUCCCUGCAAAGGGUCCAUCAAAACCUUAAGCAGAGAGCACAGAUAAACUAACCGUGCAAUCUCUGCACAUCUACCAUGUUUUGAAAGAGAUAAAAAAAGACUGAGCAUCUGUUUUAAACACCUGCCUAAGUGCAGAGCAGUGGUAAACCAGGUCACACCAACGUGCAUGCUAAUAAGCAUCUUGUAGCACUAUUCAUGGUUUUAGGAAGAACAGUGAGAAGCAUUUAAUGUUCUCUUUUCUAGUCCU